rnacentral:tRNA from 1 species
GGGGAUGGAGCAACGGUGGCUCGUGGGGCUGCAUAACCUGAACAUCGGCAGGUUCAACUCCUGCCCCCGUCACCA